ACCAUCUGGUGUGACAGUAAUCUAGAAAGUGAAAGGGAAUUCAAAUCACACAUGCCUGAAAACACGUGCGCACACACACACAUUUCAUGCCUGCUACUGAACAACAAAUAGUUGAACAAGGGUGCUACACCAGCUGCCUACUUUCUAAUUUACUCAUCAGCCAGAGUAUGUUUGCUACUCUUUAUAUGUGUGGAUAAAUGAUCAUUCCACUGGCAUUUGAGUC